CCUACGGGUGACAGCAGUGGGGAAUAUUGCACAAUGGGGGAAACCCUGAUGCAGCGACGCCGCGUGAGUGAAGAAGUAUUUCGGUAUGUAAAGCUCUAUCAGCAGGGAAGAAAAUGACGGUACCUGACGAAGAAGCCCCGGCUAACUAAGUGCCAGCAGCCGCGGUAAUACGUAGGGGGCAAGGGUGAUCCGGAUUUACUGGGUGUAAAGGGAGCGUAGACGGCCACACAAGUCAGAAGUGAAAGCCCAGGGCCCAACCCUGGGACUGCUUUUGAAACUGCCGGGCUGGAGUGCAGGAGAGGUAAGCGGAAUUCCUAGUGUAGCGGUGAAAUGCGUAGAUAUUAGGAGGAACACCAGUGGCGAAGGCGGCUUACUGGACUGUAACUGACGUUGAGGCUCGAAAGCGUGGGGAGCAAACAGGAUUAGAUACCCUGGUAGUC
rnacentral:rRNA from 1 species